GAAUUGCUGAUGUGUCCCACCAUAGGACGAAACGGCCAUCCAGUGC
rnacentral:hammerhead_ribozyme from 1 species